UUUUAAUUGAAGGCUUGUAUGAAGGGUUGGACAAAGGAUAAGCUGUCUUUAUUUUUGUUUUUGAAUUUGUCUUUUAAGUGAAAAGACUUAAAUUAUUUUAAGGGACGAUAAGACCCUAUAAAUCUUUAUAUUAAUAUAUUUUCAUUUUAAUUUUUAAUGUUUAUAAAAAAGAAAAUAUAAAAUAUUGUGUUGGGGUGAUAAGAAUAAAAAAUAAACUGUUCUAAAAAGAAACAAAGUUAUUUGUAAAUAUAAUAGAUCCUUUUUAAAGAUUAAAAGUUUAAGUUACUUUAGGGAUAACAGCGUUAUUUUUUUUGAGAGUUCUAAUCGAAAAAAAAGUUUGCGACCUCGAUGUUGAAUUAAAAUUUCUUUUUGGUGUAGCCGCUAUAUAAGAGAGUCUGUUCGACUUUUAAAGUUUUACGUGAUCU
rnacentral:rRNA from 1 species